rnacentral:rRNA from 1 species
GAUGAACGCUGGCGGCGUGCUUAACACAUGCAAGUCGAACGAAGCGAUAGGAAGGAAGUUUUCGGAUGGAAUUCAUAUUGACUGAGUGGCGGACGGGUGAGUAACGCGUGGGUAACCUGCCUCAUACAGGGGGAUAACAGUUAGAAAUGACUGCUAAUACCGCAUAAGCACACAGAAUCGCAUGAUUCGGUGUGAAAAACUCCGGUGGUAUGAGAUGGACCCGCGUCUGAGUAGCUAGUUGGUGGGGUAAAGGCCUACCAAGGCGACGAUCAGUAGCCGACCUGAGAGGGUGAUCGGCCACAUUGGGACUGAGACACGGCCCAA